rnacentral:misc_RNA from 1 species
GAAAUGCGAUAAGUAAUGUGAAUUGCAGAAUUCAGUGAAUCAUCGAAUCUUUGAACGCACCUUGCGCUCCUUGGUAUUCCGAGGAGCAUGCCUGUUUAAGUGUCAUGAAACCCUCAAUCGUAAGUUUUGAAUUUGGAUACAGACUCGAGUUUGGAUUUGGAUGUUUGCCGGUGAUGAACCGACUCAUCUUAAAAGUAUUAGCUUGGAUCUGUCUAUAUGACUGGUUUGACUUGGCAUAAUAAGUAUUUUGCUGAGGACAUCUUCGGAUGGCCAGGACCUAGACUACUGUCUGCUAACUAAACCAUCACUUUGAGUGCAUUUUUGGAUGUUACUCAUUGUGUAACUUUCACAUCUGGCCUCAAAUCAAGUAGGACUACCCGCUGAACUUAA